rnacentral:misc_RNA from 1 species
GAUGAAGAACGCAGCGAAAUGCGAUAAGUAAUGUGAAUUGCAGAAUUCAGUGAAUCAUCGAAUCUUUGAACGCACAUUGCGCCCCUUGGUAUUCCGAGGGUCAUGCCUGUUCGAGCGUCAUUAUAACCCCUCAAGCUCAGCUUGGUGUUGGGGCCUGCUGCACUGGCAGCCCUUAAAAUCAGUGGCGGCGCCAUCUGGCUCUAAGCGUAGUAAUUCUUCUCGCUAUGGAGUCCUGGUGGAUGCUUGCCAUCAACCCCCAAUUUUUCUAUGGUUGACCUCGGAUCAGGUAGGGAUACCCGCUGAACUUAAGCAUAUCAAUAAGCGGAGGA